GAUGAACGCUGGCGGCGUGCUUAACACAUGCAAGUCGAACGGAAAGGCCCUGCUUGCUGGGUGCUCGAGUGGCGAACGGGUGAGUAACACGUGGGUGAUCUGCCCUUCACUUUGGGAUAAGCCUGGGAAACUGGGUCUAAUACCGGAUAGGAGCGACCACUACAGUGGUGGUGGGGGAGAUUUUUCGGUGUAUGGUGUGGUCGCGGCGUAUCAGCUCGUUGGUGGGGUAAUGGCGUACCACGGCGGCGAGGGGGAGCGGGCGCGUGAGGGGGUACGGGGCCACUGGGAGUGUGAGACAGGGCAGAGACCCACGCGGGGGAGAAGUGGGGAAUAUAUUACAAAGGGGGCGAGCGUGAGGCAGCGACGCCGCGUGUGGGAUGAAGGGGUUCGGGGUGUAAACUCCUUUCGCUAGGGACGAAGCGUUGUUGUGACGGUACCUAGAGAAGAAGCACCGGCUAACUACGUG
rnacentral:rRNA from 1 species